rnacentral:lncRNA from 1 species
UAGUGUUAACCAAUUUCUUAGAAAGGUUAUGUUGUUUAGGUGUAUUGUAUUCCCUUGAUAAGUGAUGUAUACUUAUAAAUGAAAAGUUACAUCUCUUUAAUAAGUAGAAAUUGGAUUCUAUGUAAACCCAUGAAACCAUUGGUAUUAAAUAUAGAAAAUUAGAGUUAAUUUUUACUCUUGAGAAAUAUGGUUUCCCCACUUUGUUUCUCAAAUGAUUCGUGUGUCAAAUUCCAAGUCGUGUCUUAAGAGUACGAAAUAUAUAAAGUUCGCUAGAGUCCGAAAAUUAAAGUGCUUUGACUUCGGAUUAUAGAUUGUUGAAUCUUGGGAGAUGGACACCUACCGAACUACAAGCAUAAGAGUAUGGG